rnacentral:rRNA from 1 species
CGGACGGGUGAGUAACGCGUGGGUAACCUGCCUCACACUGGGGGAUAACAGUUAGAAAUAGCUGCUAAUACCGCAUAAGCGCACAGUUCCGCAUGGAACAGUGUGAAAAACUCCGGUGGUGUGAGAUGGACCCGCGUCUGAUUAGCCAGUUGGCGGGUAACGGCCCACCAAAGCGACGAUCAGUAGCCGGCCUGAGAGGGUGAACGGCCACAUUGGGACUGAGGCACGGCCCAA